UAGAUAAGAGUAGUUUGUUUAGUAAAAUUAAUUUAUUUAUAGUAGUUUUUAACGAAUAUUGAUUAAUAAAAUACUGUGGAGGGGAGAAGAUCUAUUUAAAAGGAAUUAUUAGUGUACCUUGUGUAUUAGGGGUUAACUAAAUAAGGUUAUAGAUUUAAUUUUCCCGAAUUACUUUGAGUUAAAAUAGUAAAAAUUAACGUGUUAGAGUUGAUAGUAAUACUAUUUUAGAAAUGAAAUGUUAGUCGAAAGGUAUGAUAUCUGGUUACUUAAGAAAAUAAUUAAAUUAUGUGUAUGAAGAGUACGAAAAUAUGUUGAGGGAUUAGCUUCAAUAGGGUUAAUAUUUUAAUAUGUUUUUUAAUUAGAUGCUUAUAAUCAGCAAUUUCUUUAGAGUUAGUUAUAUAAUAUAAAGUGUAAAUUGAAAUUUGUUUAUAAUUUAUUUGAAUAUUAAGUAAGAACUAGAAUUAUUAUGUUAGUUAAUAAUGUUAACAUAAGUAGAUAGAAAUAGUAAUUUUAUAAAGUUGGAGUAAAUAAAAUUUAAGAAUUCAGCAAAGAAUUAUUCGCCUGUUUAUCAAAAACAUGGUUUCUUGAAUGUAAUGAGGAAUCUGACCUGCCCAAUGAGAAUUAAAUGGCCGCGGUAUAUUGACCGUGCGAAGGUAGCAUAAUCAUUAGUCUUUUAAUUGAGGACUGGAAUGAAUGGUUGGACGUAAUAAUAGCUUUUUUAGUUUUAUGUAUUGAAUUUUACUUUUUAGUGAAGAGGCUAAAAUGAAACCAAAAGACAAGAAGACCCUAUCAAGUUUUAUUAUGAUUGUAUUUUGGAUUAGAAGUAUAGAUUAAUAUAAAUGUAAUUUUACUGGGGCGGUGAGUUAAAAACUGGUUAAGGUCCAAAAUUUUUGAUUGUUUGAUUAAAUUACUGUAGGGAUAACAGCGUAAUCUUAUUUAAGAGUUCAUAUCGACAAUAAGGGUUGCGACCUCGAUGUUGGAUUAGAAUUCCUUCUUGGAGCAGAAUCUAAGUAAGGUGGUCUGUUCGACCAUUAAAAUUCUACAUGAUCUGAGUUCAGACCGGUGUGAGCCAGGUCGGUUUCUAUCUUUGGUUAUAUGUAUAAGUUUUUAGUACGAAAGGACCAAAAUUUGAAGAUGUUCUUUGUUAAAUAAGAAAGAAAAUAAAAGAGAUAUUAAGAUGAGAAUUU
rnacentral:rRNA from 1 species